UGGAGAAUUUUGGACAAUGGGCGAAAGCCUGAUCCAGCAAUGCCGCGUGUGUGAAGAAGGCCUUCGGGUUGUAAAGCACUUUUGUCCGGAAAGAAAUCCUUGGCUCUAAUACAGUCGGGGGAUGACGGUACCGGAAGAAUAAGCACCGGCUAACUACGUGCCAGCAGCCGCGGUAAUACGUAGGGUGCAAGCGUUAAUCGGAAUUACUGGGCGUAAAGCGUGCGCAGGCGGUUUGCUAAGACCGAUGUGAAAUCCCCGGGCUCAACCUGGGAACUGCAUUGGUGACUGGCAGGCUAGAGUAUGGCAGAGGGGGGUAGAAUUCCACGUGUAGCAGUGAAAUGCGUAGAGAUGUGGAGGAAUACCGAUGGCGAAGGCAGCCCCCUGGGCCAAUACUGACGCUCAUGCACGAAAAGCGUGGGGGAGCAAACAGGAUUAGAUACCCCUGGUAGUCCACGCCCUAAAACGAUGUCAACUAGUUGUUGGGGAUUCAUUUCCUUAGUAACGUAGCUAACGCGUGAAGUUGACCGCCUGGGGAGUACGGUCGCAAGAUUAAAACUCAAAUGAAUUGACGGGGUCAUAGCUGUUUCCU
rnacentral:rRNA from 1 species